GUGCCUAACACAUGCAAGUCGUGCGCGAAUGGAGCAAUCCUAGUAGAGCGGCGAACGGGUGCGUAACACGUGGGUAAUCUGCCCAGAAGAUCGGAAUAACCUGCCGAAAGGCAAGCUAAUACUGAAUAAGCCCACGGGGGCUUUGGCCCCUGAGGGAAAAGAUGGCCUCUGCAUGCAAGCUAUCACUUCUGGAUGAGCCCGCGGCCCAUCAGCUAGUUGGCGGGGUAAUGGCCCACCAAGGCAACGACGGGUAGCUGGUCUGAGAGGACGAUCAGCCACACUGGAACUGAGACACGGUCCAG
rnacentral:rRNA from 1 species